GUAGGUGGCAAGCGUUGUCCGGAAUUAUUGGGCGUAAAGCGCGCGCAGGUGGUUCUUUAAGUCUGAUGUGAAAGCCCCCGGCUCAACCGGGGAGGGUCAUUGGAAACUGGGGAACUUGAGUGCAGGAGAGGAAAGUGGAAUUCCACGUGUAGCGGUGAAAUGCGUAGAUAUGUGGAGGAACACCAGUGGCGAAGGCGACUUUCUGGCCUGUAACUGACACUGAGGCGCGAAAGCGUGGGGAGCAAACAGGGAUUAGAUACCCUGGUAGUCCACGCCGUAAACGAUGAGUGCUAAGUGUUGGGGGGGUUUCCCGCCCCCCCGUCAGUGCUGCAGCUAACGCAUUAAGCACUCCGCCUGGGGAGUACGGCCGCAAGACUG
rnacentral:rRNA from 1 species